rnacentral:lncRNA from 1 species
UUCCAAUUUGGGACAGUUGUAAUGGUUGAUGGUUACUAAAUUAUAUUAAAAGUUCUAGUCCUGUUCUUUGCAUCAGUUUGUUCUACUUCUUUACUCUAGAAUCACAUAGGAAAAGCUGAUCUCACUGCCGUUCAGUUAUUCUUCAGAUAUGCCAGGAUAGCUCCGUGCUCUCAAGUCCAUUUCCCUCUGGGUUAAGUAUUCUCAGGUCCUUAGUUGGCCCGAAUGAUGAAAGGCCAAACUAGCCCACUCGUCUCAUCCAUCCCCAGCUCUCUGCCUUUGCUCACUGGGAGCACUGGGAGAGGAAGGGAGCAUCAAAAGAGAGAAGGAGUCCCGUGUCCUCAGUCUCUGUUGGUUCCCCUCACCACUGCUGCAGCCAGUUGAGGCAGAAAGCCGCACGAAUAUUACUCAGAUUAGGGAGAGCCUAAAAGGAGGGGAGAAUGACUAGUGUAGUUGGGAGCAAUUUUGUUGGUCCCCAAAAAGAGAGGGGAGAGAUGUGGAAGGGAGGAGUGAGGGGUGCCUGUGAGGCAGGCUGUACCUGGAGGUCAGUGACUGCAUGAAGCAUCCAGGCUUGAGCGCCUUGCCGGUGUUCCCCCCAACAGGAAGAGGUGGUGGGGUGUGUGCCUAUGGGCAGUAGCUGUCUUGCCCACAGAGAGUUCGAGCCAGGCCAGAGUUUCCACAUCUUGCAUCCCAGUGCAGACUGCUUUUGAGCACCUGUCACUUGUGGCCCUGCCCUAGCUAGCACGUAUAGGAGAAGCCGUGACCACAGAAGAGGGCUGCAGCUGCUCCCUCAGUCGGGUAAAGAGGUGUUUGUCCUUUGACCUCAUUUGUCAUCUGGGUCCUGAAGAAGGGAGGGCAAAGGAGGAGUUAAAGAACAGACUCCUUGUUGCUGCCACCAUGGCCAGUAGUCAAGCCUGAGCUGUGGGGAGGUUGGAGAUGGGUUAUUAAACCAAGCCGGACUGGACUCGUUAAUCUAGUUACAGGUCAGCUAUGAGAGCUGCUUAGGGUGUGCUGAGGAGAAGAGGGAGGUGACGGCAUGGUUGAAGACCAUGGUCAGGAAAGUGGGACCACAUCCAGGCUGUUCUACCGACUGGUUGAUAGGUUUUUCUAUUUCUUCUUGACUCUAUUUUCCUCAUUUACACUUUCCUCGAACAUUGGGCCAUUUCAUAUUCAUCGAUGGAAUUCUAGAAGACAGGUAACACUGCUUUUAUAACAUCACAGGCCAGAAGUUUUUUUAAGCGAUUUACUUAUUUAAUCCUCAUCAGAAUUUAUUGAGGGAGUUCUUUUAUCAUCUCCAUUUUAUAGAGAAGGAAACUGAGGCACAAGGAGGAUCAUUACAUUGUCCAAGGUCUCAGCUGCUAAGUGGAGGAAUCAGGAUUCCAACCUCCAGCUUAAGCUUUCUGGCUUGAUUCCCUUAUUUAGAUUCGUUCAUAUAUAUAUUCACAUAUACAUGUGUGUGUACUUAUAAAUAUAUAUUUUUAUAAUUUUAAAAAUUACUGUAUAGUUUUUUUUACCCUCAUUUGUUCCUGAUGUUAAUGUGCCUUUUCAUUUUCUCCUGGUUGUACUUUCUGAAGGAUUGUCAACCUCUGGUUCUCAAAAGUGUGGUCUGCAGAGCCCUUGGGCAUCCCCAAGACCCUUCCAGGAGUCUGCAAGGUCCAAACUGUACUUUGGUGGUACGAGGAUGUUACUCUCCUUUCUCGGUGCUGGUGCUUCGCUCCAGAGCGGUUAGGAGUUACGGUGUUCAUCACUGCUCACUCCCAGUAGAAACACUGUCAGAGACACUUAAGAAAGUCUUUUCUGGUGAGAUUGGUAGUGAUACUGGUGAAUGUGAGUUUUUGGUGUGUAUAGUGAAAUGUGUCAAUAUCUGGAAGAUCUGGAUUAACUCAGUGAACCAGUAUUUUCCAAACGACCAGUGCACAAUGUUACAAAAUCAUGCCUCAGGUACGAGAGCAAGAGCAAGAUAAGCUAAAGGAUUUUAAUGUAUCAGAGUGCAAAAAGUUUAUUGAUCGGCUUUCAGGCUCCACACUGCAAUUAAUCUUUAAGAAAUUACCUCGUGUUGAGCUUUGCUAUAGUAUCAAAGAAUAUCCAGUUGUCUGAAACGGCUACUGCUCUCUGUUUUCCAACAACAUGUCUGUGUGAGGCCAGAUGUUCUUCGUACACUUCAACCAAAACAAUGUAUCACAACAGGUGGAACGCAGGAGCCAAUCUUCUACAAAGCCCGAUAGUUAAAAGAUUUGCAAACAGAUCUGGGGAUGAAGAGAAAGAUUGCAGCAGCACCUUGAAAACUGAAUUCUGCCAAAAUAAGCCUAAAAAAAGUAAAGUGCUGAUUGGUGGUUUUCUUCGUGUUCUUUGUGUUUCUUGAUAUUUCCUGGUUAUGCCAUAUGAGUAUUUUUCUUGAGUUUCCUCUUUGCUGAGUUUCUUUACGUUCCCCCCACACCCACCCCGCCAAGCCUGAACCUGCAGGAAUGCUAUUCUCCCACUGACAAUGGUAGGAGUUUUAUUCCCGUGAUGGAAGAAUCAGUUGGAAUAAAAUGAGAUGAGAAAAACAUAAGUUUUUCUCCAUUUUGUUACCAAGAACAGGAUGAUUUAUGCACUCAGCAGUGUGGGGACAGUAUGGAGACACGGGUGUGGAGGUUCAGACUCUGCCUUGAUGUUCCCUCAGGACGUCUGUACGGACGUGGUCUUCUGUUAGACAAACAUGUCCAGUCGGAUGGAGCCGAGUUUUUUUCUGACAACCGAUCUGGGUGACUUUUUGACUAUAACUUGACCUAUUUUGAAUAAACUAACAGCAUUUCCUACCUGCAUUUGCAUAGAAAAUGUAAAACUUUCUCAUCUGUUCCGAGUGCCUGGUGUUAACUUUGAGAGUAGCCUUAACAGACAACUGGCCCACCCUCUGGUCCUCUCAGGGCGGCUCAGGGGGACCGCUCUGUCUCACCGCCUUUGGACAGGUCCCCCUGCACCCUGAAUAUGUGCUUGGCUUCUCACCCAACUCAACUGCAUGAUGGCUGAUGUCCCACAAAGCAACUAAUUAAUCAUUUACUUGGGGGCAUUUUAUGAAUGAUAGUAACAAUAAACAAAUAAUAGGAGUCAUAAUAAUUACGGACAUUUAUUGAGUGCUCUUUUCUAGAUACCACGCUGUGUGUUAGAUGCACGGCUCAUUUUGCUACUGAUUUACCUUGCAAGGUUAUUACUGUGACAGUCUCUGGAGUCCUUAGAGAGCUUUCCAAUGCCUAAGUGGAGUAUUUGGUAACACGAGGACUAGACUUUCUAGAAACUGACAAGGCAAGGAAAAGGAUCCUCUGCUAGAACCUCCGGGAGGAACCCAGUCCUCCCAACACCUUGCUUUGUAUACCACAGGGACCCACGUUGGAUUUCUGACCUCCAGGACUGUGAGAGAAUAAGUUGGUGUUGUUUUAAACCACGAGGUUUGUAGUAGUUUGUUACAGCAGCACUAGGAAAUGGAUACAACCACUCCUGGCUGCGGGAUCCUGCCUUCUCUCGGGAUGGGGGUUCCUGCUUGUUCGGUGACUGUAGACCAGCUCUGGGCCGGCCAGCCCAGUGACCUUCUCUGCCGUCACUGGGCAGCACCCACACCUUCUCCAGUGAGGCCUGACCUCCAGUCCCCUCCAACUCUGUCCUCUUCCAGGUUCUCUCUCAGCCCCAAGGUAUUCUCCAGAGUGGUUUGCCUCAUUAAAGGUCAUCCCUGUUACAACGAAUCUCUCUUGAUAGUGAACUUUCCCUUCUCAAGUUUUGUUCAAACUUCCCUGUUCAAAUUAGAUUAAGCUUUCGCUGUCCAAAGCCGAGACUCUCAUCCUCACCCUGCCCUGUGCCUUCUCACGACUGACCAGCUCUGCCCUUGCUGUCUCCUCCCCUGCGCCUUCCCGCUCCUCCCUCCGGAAGGCCCUUCCCUCAGAAGGCCAGUGCCCUCCGUCUUUAACCCUGCUCCCUUCACUCUGGUGCCACCUGCAAAUACUGCCUGUCCUCCUCGCUGUCGGCCCCACGCCUCCUAGUCGCUCCUCAUUAGCUUUUUCUCUGGUGCCAGUUCCACAGCCUCACAGGCGAUUUGAACUUCCAUGUGGCUCUCCACCUGGCGUUCUGGGCUCACGGGUUUUGGACCUUGACUUCUGUAGAGUUUCUUAUGGCUGCUGUAACAAAUGACCGCAGCUUCAGUGGCUUAAAACAACCCAGAUUUAUUCCCUCACAGUUCUGGGAGUCGGACGUCCGGAGUCCGCUUCACUGGACUAAAGUCAAGGUGUUGGCACGGCUGGUCCUUCCGGAGGCUCUGGGGGGGACCUGUUCCCUUGUCUUUUCUAGCUUCUGGCGGCCCUGCCUCACUCCAGCCUCUUGCUUCUGCUGUCACAUCUCCUGACUCCUCCCUUGGCCUUCUUGCCUCCUCGUAUAGGGACCCUGCGAUUCUAUUUGGGGGCCACCUGGGUAGUCUGGAUGAUCUUCCCAUCUCAAGAGCCUCAACUUAAUCACGUCUGCAAGGCCCUCUUUCCAUGUAAUGUAACAUAUUCACGGGUUCCAGGGAUCAGGACUAGCUUGCGGGGGCAUUAUUCAGGCGACUGCAGCUCCAGAGACCUUGGUCUCUUGCACUCCUGUGAGCGCCCCUUGGAGCCUGUCGCCAUUCCCCAGGACUCCACCCUCUGAUGCCUCUGAUGUGUCCUCCCAUCCUUGCAGAUCCCUUGCUCUCCAAACCCCGCUGUCCUGUCAUUUGCCCUCAUGGAGGCUUCAGCCUCUUGACAGUCGGUUUUUCUUCCAUUUAUAAUACGUCUUGAUUUUAUUCCUUUCUCUAUGGUCCAUCAUAUCUACAUCUCUUUUGUGAACAUAUUAAAUUCUGUUACCCUUAUCCUUCACAGAUGCUUGGUAAAGAGCUGCAAUAUGUGUGAUACGAUAUUAAAGUGGAAGCUUAGGGACAUAGAGACCAACUGCAAAGCAGGAUGGGACUCUGAAAUGUGCAGGCCCUGAAAACGGAGACGGGGACGUGGUGCUGCUGCUCGAAAUUCCUGCACCCACACUGACAGCGUGCAGGCCUGGGAGUUAGAGGUCAGUCGAGGAGAGGGGAAAUUUUCAGAGACUGCUGUUACUGUGCCGUGAGCCCCACCCCGACCCAGGGGAGAUCCGGGGCAUCCUUCAUCUCCAGGCAACAGGGGGAGCCUUCAGUGGGACUGUCUCGAGAGCCUGUAACAUACCUCUGCAUUUGGAAAACAGAGUGGACUGGUGACUGACCCCUCCCGGGAAAUCCAAAGGCUGAGAGAUGCUGCUUCGAUGGCAGAUUAGGGUGAAGGGGACCAUGCGGGAUGGCCUGCAUUACUCAAAUUUUUCAGAACAAAGGAUAUGAGGAUGUCUGCCAUGGACAGAUAUGAGCCAUGUGAGGGAGAAAGCCAGUGGGAUUGGCUUGGAUUCUGUCCCAAAGGACCAUCUUGAGGGUGAAAAGCCCCAGCAGACAAAAGCUGAAGAAGGCACCACCAGAUGCCUAUGAGUUGAGGGGACCAAGCGGCAAAUUGGGCUAGAGAUGUUCUUGCCCUCAAUGAGGUGCAGGCGAGAAGUCUCCAUCUCUGGGAAUGAAGGACUCAGGGCGGUGGAGUCACAUCCAGGAGCUCAGAUCCCAGAGCCCGUGCUUAGAGGAGAGCCGUGCAGGAGGGCGCCCAACCCACAGCACACUGGGCGAGGUCUGCCCGCUGAGGCUCGUAGUUCCCACAGGGCGUUCCAGCCCAUUAGCAAGUCCCCUCCUAUAGCCUAGUCAGAGGGUGGUGGGGAGAAAAACGAGAUGACGCGGGAAGUGCCUGGCACUUUGUGGGCCCUCGGGAGUGUCAGUGUCCUCCCAGGGUGAGCUAGAGCAGCCCUCGUGUGGUGACACUCGAAAGGGGCCAGCACGUGCACCGAGGGGUGUCAGUGGCAGGAGACCGGCCCUUGCCGCCAGGAAGACAGGUUAGGUUCUCCAAGCCUCAUCUAAGGGUUUGUCUUUCCUGUUCUUUCUAAUUUGGGUUCCAGUGUUAGGAUUAUCUGCAGAUCUCAACAGGAAGCCACGUCUUGGUGUUGGGCCAUGUCAAGGCUGAGCCCGUUCCUUCUUGGCUCCCCUCCCAGGGUGCUUUCUGUUUGUUUGCUUUCUGGCUUGCUUUUUGGCUAGGAAUAAAGGCACUUCCCUAAAAAUACGGGUGUGCUACAAUGUGC